CCCACCCCCACUACCACUCCCUCUCCAUCCCAGCCCUGCCCACACUGUCUCAGGACAUUUUUUAAUAUGAACUGUCUCAGGAGAACUGGUAAACCCUAAACGAUUUCCAUGCGCGGGGUGCGGCUCUUCCCUGAAGAGGUUUAUGUUCUGGUGGUUUGGGCUGCGGCACUCUAAGCCCAGAAGUACGUAGUCAACGCCGGACCAAGGCGAGAAUUGGUUACGGAGCCGGAAACGCGGGCUGAACCAGAAAGCAGUCUGUGGGCUGGGGACUGCCACCCGCUCCCGCCGCCGCUAGAGAGCGGAGAGCCGUUGCAGAAAUUGAAAGGCGCCUGUGGGAACUCGGGUCGAAAGCCGCCCCCGGGCCUAAACACCAGGCAGAAAGGCCCAGAAGGACAUGCCCCCGGACAGAUCUUGAUUUCAUAUUCUGCUUUGUCAUAGUCCUGUUCUUCCAACUGUCAGUGACAUAGGCAGCUCGAAUGUUUAAGAAAGUUUACUGACCAUGCCACCUACACGCCAAGAGCUGGGGGAAGUCUGGGUCCUAUCAAUUAACCCACUGAAAUUAAGACUAUAUUUAAUAAAGUGCCAACUAGGUAAGGUAGUUCUUCCGCUGAACACUUUUGAACACCUAUGCCAGGCACUGGCUGUAGGGCCUAAGUGAGUGUGGUAAUGGCAUACGUGUGGAUAUGACUGGUUUCCUGAGUCUAAACGAGUGGCUCUCAACCAGGGAUUAUCUUGUCCCCUCCCUCCCCCGACAUCUCAUCCGGUAAUGUCUAGCGACAUCUGUUGUCACAACUGGUGGACAGGUGCUAGUGGGUAGACUCCAGAGAUAUUGCUAAGCAUUCUAAAAUGCACAACCCUCCCCCUACCACCAAAGAAUGAUCUCACUCAAAAUGUCAUUAGUGCUGAGGUUGAGAAACUCUGGUCUAGACCACAGCAUGGAUCAGUUUUUCAUGCCAAGACUAAUCAUGAGGUCCAGGUUCAAUAGAAUAGUAAGGCUAGCCAAGUGUCUGAGGAAAUGGGAA